GUCCAUGCCAUAAACGAUGAUAACUAGGCGUGGGGGUCGUUGACGACUUCCGUGCCACAGCUAACGCGUUAAGUUAUCCGCCUGGGAAGUACGGUCGCAAGAUUAAAACUCAAAGAAAUUGACGGGGGCCCCGCACAAGCGGUGGAUUAUGUGGUUUAAUUCGAAGCAACGCGCAUAACCUUACCCGGGUUUGACAUCCCAAGAAAAGUCAUAGAGAUAUGACCUUUCAUUAGAGUAAAAUCUAGUGGCUUGGAGACAGGUGCUGCAUGGCUGUCGU
rnacentral:rRNA from 1 species